GCUUACAGCCUCGUCUGAUCUCGGAAGCUAAGCAGGGUCGGGCCUGGUUAGUACUUGGAAGGGAGACUGCCUGGCAAUACCAGGUGCUGUAAGCU
ensembl:rRNA 5S_rRNA 5S ribosomal RNA